rnacentral:tRNA from 1 species
GGAGAGGUACCGAAGAGGUCGUAACGGGGUCGACUCGAAAUCGACUUGUCCCGUUGAUAGCGGGGCACGUGGGUUCGAAUCCCACCCUCUCCGCCA